GAGCCCUGUGCACAAGCUUUCUCCUCUGUGACACUCUCGAUGGUUUCAGGGAGUGGACACUAAGGAGAGCUUUUGCGAGUUGCUC
rnacentral:miRNA from 1 species